rnacentral:lncRNA from 1 species
AAGUUUUUUUUUUAUAGGCAAAUUGGGAAUUAAUAGGAUUAUUUCUAAUUGUUAAUGGAUUAAGAAAUCACAGACAUCCUAAGAUGCACCUGAGUUCUAGCUCUAGGUCUGCCCCUGACUUCUGGGGGAUCUUAUGCUGCCUGGCUUUCUUUCUUCCACACCCACCUUUAAGGUCACACAAUUGUGAGCUCUACCUUAGCUCCCAAAAUGACAGUAUUAUUAAAUCUUAGAUUCUUACCUCUAAGUUUCUAUAUCUGUCUUUCUCUGUAUAAAAAACUGCAAGUUUUCCUGUGUCAUGGACUUCUUUUGAUAAAGCAAUUAGGUGUGAAGAGACCAAAUCAUUUUGGCUGUGAAGCAGUAGGUAUCCUAGUGGAAGAAAAGAUUCCAUGCUUUUAAGAGUAAGAAAUGGUUUCUACUUAGUGUGUACGUGAGGCACGUAAGCAUCUGGAAGGGAAAGUGAAGAAGUUAGUGUAGGUGAGAGGUGGCUUCAGAAUCGCAUUGGCUCUGAGGAAUGUUUAGGCUUUAAUUUUUAUUUGAGAAAUGUGAGCCUUAUUUAAGGUAAAUAAUUCUCAUUAAGAAAUGAAAUGGGAAAAAAAAUGUUAGCUUUUGGAGAAGUUAAUUACUUUCCUAGAACAUUUUUUAAAUUAUGUUUCUGUUCUUUGAAAAGAAGUUUUUCUUGAUCUGAAAAGUUAAUAAGUUAACAAGAUUGAAAUUUAAGUAUGAUAUAUUUGAAUUAUGAUUUGUUCAUAAUUUUGAGUUUUAUAACUCAGUUCUCAAGUAUAAAAUUCUUGGGUAGAAAAUCCUCAAGUAUGAAUUUCUUUUCUAGCAAUCGCAGAACCUGUUUUUGCUGUGGUCAAAGCUGACUGAUAGACUGUGGUUUAAGUCAUCUUAUUCAAAAAUGUCUUCAACCCUGCUGGUCGAGACAAGAAAUCUUUAUGGGGUAGUUGGAGCUGAAAGCAGGUUAGGCAUCUAUUAAAUGUCACAGAACAGGUUAGACUGUGCUUGAAGAAGUGGCUAUUCUUCCAUGUUUUAAAUGAGCUUAUGUGCUAAGUCUUCAAAAAUGGGACUUGAAGUAUCAAGUGAGGCUGUUUGGCUCUUUUAGAAACCCAAGGUGCAUGCUAUGUUAUAAGGACAACCUUAUCAAACAGUGCUUCACAAAUGCACUAGUUCUGAAAAUUAAUACAAAGUUGGAAAAGUUAAUAUAUACUUUCCUGUUUUCAAAUUUACUAUUUCGUUUACUUAAAAAAAAAAACCCCAAAAUUUUAACUAAUGAUGAUAGUAUGUGUUAGUCAUUAAAAACAGAAUUUUGUGUAUAUCUUGGCCAUCUAUUUUUGUUAAAAAUGAAUUUUCCCAAGGAAUUUGGCAAAUGCACAUUGAUAAGUAAUACAUGAUUUAUAUGUGUGUGUUCAAUGC